rnacentral:rRNA from 1 species
CAGCAGCCACGGUAAUACGUAGGUGGCAAGCGUUGUCCGGAAUUAUUGGGCGUAAAGGGCUCGCAGGCGGUUUCUUAAGUCUGAUGUGAAAGCCCCCGGCUCAACCGGGGAGGGUCAUUGGAAACUGGGAAACUUGAGUGCAGAAGAGGAAAGUGGAAUUCCACGUGUAGCGGUGAAAUGCGUAGAGAUGUGGAGGAACACCAGUGGCGAAGGCGACUCUCUGGUCUGUAACUGACGCUGAGGAGCGAAAGCGUGGGGAGCGAACAGGAUUAGAUACCCGGGUAGUCCCUGUCUCUUAUAC